GUGGUUUCUUAAGUCUACUGUUAAAUCUUGAGGCUCAACCUCAAAUCUGCAGUAGAAACUANGAGACUUGAGUAUAGUAGGGGUAGAGGGAAUUUCCAGUGGAGCGGUGAAAUGCGUAGAUAUUGGAAAGAACACCGAUGGCGAAGGCACUCUACUGGGCUAUUACUGACACUCAGAGACGAAAGCUAGGGGAGCAAAUGGGAUUAGAUACCCCAGUAGUCCUAGCCGUAAACGAUGGAUACUCGAUGUUGGACGUAUCGACCCGUUCAGUAUCUUAGCUAACGCGUUAAGUAUCCCGCCUGGGGAGUACGCUCGCAAGAGUGAAACUCAAAGGAACUGACGGGGGCCCGCACAAGCGGUGGAGGAUGUGGUUUAAUUCGAUGCAACGCGAAGAACCUUACCAGGGUUUGCUAGAAGUGUUGGUUUUCUGAAAAGAAUUCCUUAUUCCGCUUCUACAGGUGGUGCAUGGCUGUCGUCAGCUCGUGUCGUGAGAUGUUGGGUUAAGUCCCGCAACGAGCGCAACCCUUAUUUUUAGUUCUAUUGUCUAGAAAGACUGCCGGUGACAAACCGGAGGAAGGUGAGGACGACGUCAAGUCAUCAUGCCCCUUACACCCUGGGCUACACACGUCCUACAAUGGGUAAGACAAUAAGUUGCAAAUUCGCGAGAAUAAGCUAAUCUUUGAAACUUACUCCAAGUACAGAUUGCAGGCUGCAACUCGUCUGCAUGAAGGUGG
rnacentral:rRNA from 1 species